AUUGAACGCUGGCGGCAUGCCUUACACAUGCAAGUCGAACGGCAGCGGACCUUCGGGUGCCGGCGAGUGGCGAACGGGUGAGUAAUGCAUCGGAACGUGCCAUUGAGUGGGGGAUAACGUAGCGAAAGUUACGCUAAUACCGCAUAUUCUGUGAGCAGGAAAGCAGGGGACCGCAAGGCCUUGCGCUCUUUGAGCGGCCGAUGUCAGAUUAGCUAGUUGGUGAGGUAAAGGCUUACCAAGGCGACGAUCUGUAGCGGGUCUGAGAGGAUGAUCCGCCACACUGGAACUGAGACACGGUCCAGACUCCUACGGGAGGCAGCAGUGGGGAAUUUUGGACAAUGGGCGCAAGCCUGAUCCAGCCAUGCCGCGUGAGUGAAGAAGGCCUCGGUUGUAAGACUCUUUCGGUCCGGGAACGGAAAUACGCCAUGGGUUAAGUACCCUGUGUGGAGUGACGGUACCGGAA
rnacentral:rRNA from 1 species